CAAAAAAUAGUUUAAAAAACAUUAAUUUUGGAAAUUAAAGAUAUAAAUAUUUUUUAUUUUUUUGA
rnacentral:tRNA from 1 species